UGGUGGGGUAACGGCUCACCAAGGCCACGAUGCAUAGCCGACCUGAGAGGGUGAUCGGCCACACUGGGACUGAGACACGGCCCAGACUCCCACGGGAGGCAGCAGUAGGGAAUCUUCGGCAAUGGACGAAAGUCUGACCGAGCAACGCCGCGUGAGUGAAGAAGGUUUUCGGAUCGUAAAACUCUGUUGUUAGAGAAGAACAAGGGUGAGAGUGGAAAGUUCACCCCUUGACGGUAUCUAACCAGAAAGCCACGGCUAACUACGUGCCAGCAGCCGCGGUAAUACGUAGGUGGCAAGCGUUGUCCGGAUUUAUUGGGCGUAAAGCGAGCGCAGGCGGUUCUUUAAGUCUGAUGUGGAAGCCCCCGGCUCAACCGGGGAGGGUCAUUGGAAACUGGAGGACUUGAGUGCAGAAGAGGAGAGUGGAAUUCCAUGUGUAGCGGUGAAAUGCGUAGAUAUAUGGAGGAACACCAGUGGCGAAGGCGGCUCUCUGGUCUGUAACUGACGCUGAGGCUCGAAAGCGUGGGGAGCAAACAGGAUUAGAUACCCUGGUAGUCCACGCCGUAAACGAUGAGUGCUAAGUGUUGGAGGGUUUCCGCCCUUCAGUGCUGCAGCUAA
rnacentral:rRNA from 1 species